AAAUUGAAGAGUUUGAUCAUGGCUCAGAUUGAACGCUGGCGGCAGGCCUAACACAUGCAAGUCGAACGGUAACAGGAAACAGCUUGCUGUUUCGCUGACGAGUGGCGGACGGGUGAGUAAUGUCUGGGAAACUGCCUGAUGGAGGGGGAUAACUACUGGAAACGGUAGCUAAUACCGCAUAAUGUCGCAAGACCAAAGAGGGGGACCUUCGGGCCUCUUGCCAUCGGAUGUGCCCAGAUGGGAUUAGCUAGUAGGUGGGGUAACGGCUCACCUAGGCGACGAUCCCUAGCUGGUCUGAGAGGAUGACCAGCCACACUGGAACUGAGACACGGUCCAGACUCCUACGGGAGGCAGCAGUGGGGAAUAUUGCACAAUGGGCGCAAGCCUGAUGCAGCCAUGCCGCGUGUAUGAAGAAGGCCUUCGGGUUGUAAAGUACUUUCAGCGGGGAGGAAGGGAGUAAAGUUAAUACCUUUGCUCAUUGACGUUACCCGCAGAAGAAGCACCGGCUAACUCCGUGCCAGCAGCCGCGGUAAUACGGAGGGUGCAAGCGUUAAUCGGAAUUACUGGGCGUAAAGCGCACGCAGGCGGUUUGUUAAGUCAGAUGUGAAAUCCCCGGGCUCAACCUGGGAACUGCAUCUGAUACUGGCAAGCUUGAGUCUCGUAGAGGGGGGUAGAAUUCCAGGUGUAGCGGUGAAAUGCGUAGAGAUCUGGAGGAAUACCGGUGGCGAAGGCGUCCCCCUGGACGAAGACUGACGCUCAGGUGCGAAAGCGUGGGGAGCAAACAGGAUUAGAUACCCUGGUAGUCCACGCCGUAAACGAUGUCGACUUGGAGGUUGUGCCCUUGAGGCGUGGCUUCCGGAGCUAACGCGUUAAGUCGACCGCCUGGGGAGUACGGCCGCAAGGUUAAAACUCAAAUGAAUUGACGGGGGCCCGCACAAGCGGUGGAGCAUGUGGUUUAAUUCGAUGCAACGCGAAGAACCUUACCUGGUCUUGACAUCCACAGAACUUUCCAGAGAUGGAUUGGUGCCUUCGGGAACUGUGAGACAGGUGCUGCAUGGCUGUCGUCAGCUCGUGUUGUGAAAUGUUGGGUUAAGUCCCGCAACGAGCGCAACCCUUAUCCUUUGUUGCCAGCGGUCCGGCCGGGAACUCAAAGGAGACUGCCAGUGAUAAACUGGAGGAAGGUGGGGAUGACGUCAAGUCAUCAUGGCCCUUACGACCAGGGCUACACACGUGCUACAAUGGCGCAUACAAAGAGAAGCGACCUCGCGAGAGCAAGCGGACCUCAUAAAGUGCGUCGUAGUCCGGAUUGGAGUCUGCAACUCGACUCCAUGAAGUCGGAAUCGCUAGUAAUCGUGGAUCAGAAUGCCACGGUGAAUACGUUCCCGGGCCUUGUACACACCGCCCGUCACACCAUGGGAGUGGGUUGCAAAAGAAGUAGGUAGCUUAACCUUCGGGAGGGCGCUUACCACUUUGUGAUUCAUGACUGGGGUGAAGUCGUAACAAGGUAACCGUAGGGGAACCUGCGGUUGGAUCACCUCCUUACCUUAAAGAAGC
rnacentral:rRNA from 1 species